rnacentral:rRNA from 1 species
GACGGAGGAUGCAAGUGUUAUCCGGAAUCACUGGGCGUAAAGCGUCUGUAGGUGGUUCAAUAAGUCAACUGUUAAAUCUUGAGGCUCAACUUCAAAAUCGCAGUCGAAACUAUUGGACUCGAGUAUAGUAGGGGUAAAGGGAAUUUCCAGUGGAGCGGUGAAAUGCGUAGAGAUUGGAAAGAACACCAAUGGCGAAAGCACUUACUGGC